CUGUCCGUCUCUCUCUUACAGUCGUGACGUAUAAACGUUCGCGCCUAAACUUCCUCGUUUGGCCUCUGUACAGAAGCUGUGGAUUUAUAUGUAUAUCUUAUUAACAUCGGCCUGUGUCUUUUGUGGGAGAUAUUCGUGUAAUUAGGACGAAUCGUCAGGAUGAGAGAACAGAGAGCUUUGUUUUCCGGUGUGUUAUCGCCGAACUUACCCAGCGGGAUAUGUGUUUUAUGGAUGAUAAUACUUGUGUUAAGUGAGUUCUGCCUGAGUUUCAACAUUGAUGUUUCGCGACCCCUAGUAUUUCAGGGCACUGCUGAUACAAACUUCGGGGCAGCAUUAGACCUAUUGAAUAACUCAGAUGGGAAAUGGUGGGUAUAUACACUCCUCAUAUCAUGUUUCGAACUAUUUACAUUAUUAAUGUGAUUGAAUACUCUCUCUCUCUCUCUCUCUCUCUCUCUCUCUCUCUCUCUCUCAGAAUCAAUGAGUCAUUAUGACUAGUAUUGCGUUUCAGUGACCUUAAUACGCCGCCUGGUUGAGACUAAUCAAUAAACAUAUAAACACACAUCUCGCCUCGCAGACUUCGACAAAAAAAUAAAAGAAUUAGCUGGAGCUCCAGGCAGCGCUAACGUUCUAACCAAUGGAUCGGCCGAUAAAUAAACAGACUUCCCUAUCGAAUAUCAGAAUUAAAAAAAAAACAUCGUAGUAAACCUACGCCGUGGAUGGUACAGGCUAUAUUUCUGAUGACCUUUAAUACGAUUCGCUUAAUUCGUUAUUAGGAGGCAAUUUGUCUUUCCAAUUAUAAUACACCGAGCAUCAAAUCAUCUGUUGGCUCUCCCAGUCAUCGUGUGUAGAGACCAAUGCCCAUAGUCUAAAGUUAAGUACAUCCUUAUGCACUUACUUAUAAUUAUUUCAUGACACAUUUUCAACAGUGGUGGACCCCAUCAAGUUAGUUGACAUACAGUGACGUUGUAGAUGUACAUUUCAUUGAGGGUCCUCACUGUCAAUGAGUUUUUGUUCACUGUUUAUACAGUGAGUUUAAGACGAGAUAUGAGAUAAUUUUGUAAAAAAAAAAAAACCCCAAAAAACC
rnacentral:misc_RNA from 1 species